rnacentral:rRNA from 1 species
UACGGAGGGUGCAAACGUUGCUCGGAAUCAUUGGGCGUAAAGCGUGUGUAGGUGGUCUGUUAAGUCGGGUGUGAAAGCCCUGGGCUCAACCCAGGAAGUGCAUUCGAAACUAACAGACUUGAGUACGGGAGAGGGUCGCGGAAUUCCCGGUGUAGAGGUGAAAUUCGUAGAUAUCGGGAGGAACACCAGUGGCGAAGGCGGCGACCUGGACCGAUACUGACGCUGAGACACGAAAGCGUGGG